rnacentral:lncRNA from 1 species
AUGGAAACAGAAGCAGUACCUAGCAGAGGUGACAGUAGCCAGCAAAUACAGGGGUACCCAGCAAAACCCUGUUAUGGAGGCAAUGGAGUUGAAUCUCAGAAUGGCAAAGGAUUUUGUUUUAUACCAUUUGGCUUGUUGAACUAAUAAGACUUCAAGGUGGUACAGAACAUCAAAUACUAUCUUCAUUUCUGACACGAGGAAGAGGAGGUCAUGUGCCACCAAAGGCUGUGAUGAGGCCCAGAAGUCAUUGACCACACUAUUCCUGCUGCUGCUGUUGCUUUCACUUGGCCUUGCUAUUGAGGAUUCUAUCUCUAUCAUGGACACCUCAGCCUUUAAUAUUUCUGUUUGCCCAAACUGUGUUGUAGUGAAGGUUUGAUCUUGACAGGACAGUGAUGCUCUUUUGUUAACAAAAAAAAUCUGGGCCACAGAUAAUUCAAGACAGAGAUGUGUAGAAAACUUGAGGAAAUUCACAUUCAGAAACAUAUAAUCAGCCAUUCAUUCAUUCAUUCAUUCAUUGGGCAUUUAUUGAGUGACUAGUGUAUAUUUGCCUCAAUCGUAAGUGUUUAUUGACUACAUAUAUCACUAAAUGAGCAUCUAAACACAAAUGUGUGACUGUGUCUCUCUUCAGGUGCUCUGAAGGAAAGCAAAAUUGAUUUAGCUAUUUUCUCUUUGUUAUGCAUUUCUCCACCUAAUCCCUUUGCCUUCCGUGAAGAAUUGUUAUAGAUGAUCCAGGAGAGACCCAAGUAUGAUAGACAGGUCAAUGACUCCACAAAGAUAUCCAUAUCCUAUUUCUUGGAAACUAUGGAUAUGUUAUGUUAAAUGUCAAAUGGGAAUUAAGGUAGCAAAUUAGCUGGUCUUGAGAUUGAGAGGUUAGCCUGGAUUAUAUGUGUGGGCCCAGUGUAAUCACAAGUGCCUUUAUAAGAGGAAGAGAGAGGCAGUAGAGGGAGAACCAGAAUGAUGUAGCAUGAGAAGAGAAGAACUCGACUUGAUGUUACUGGCCUUGAAGAUAGAGGAGGAGGACCAUGAUGCAAGGAAUACAGGUGGCCUCUAGAAGCUGGAAAAGGUAAGAAAGUAGAUUACCCCCUAGAACCUCCAGAAGGAACACAGUUCUGCUUACCCCUUGAUUUUAGCCCAGUGAGACCCAUUUCAGAUUUCUGACCUCCAGAACUAUAAGGUAAUAAAUUUGUGCUGUUUUAAAUCACUAAGUCAGCAUUAAUUGGUUACAAAAGCAGUAGUGAAAAAGUUUUUAGACAACACAAAUCAGUUGUCUAAAUCAAUGGUUCCCGAUUUUGAUGGUGCAACAACAGUAGAGCUUUGAAAGUCCUGAUGCUCAGGUUACUUCCCAGAUUAAUCAGAAACUCUGGGGGUAGCCUCAGGCAUAAGUUUUUUUUUUUUUGUUUGUUUUUGUUUUUGUUUUUUUUUUAAAGCUCCACAGGUAAUUCCAAUGUAGAAUAGGAUUGAGGACCACUGGACUAAAUAAAAUUUUUGUAUCACUAUAUUUUAACCGUGAAAAUCUCAUUUGACUGAGAAUAAUCUCUUCUUGCUUAUUUCUACCAGUUUGUCUUCCAGCAGUACAAGGAAAAGUGAAAAGAGACAAAAGCUCCAGAAUCUCUGGACCAUGAGGCCCAGAAAGAAGAGCUUAAUACAGCUUCCCAAACAAUUGGAGUGAAAGGUAAAGCAUGGCCGGAUGCUUGCCCCAAGUUUCUGUUUUGGUAGAUUCAGCCACUUCUAAAUGUCUGAGUAUGUAUUUCUAUAUAAAAUACCAUUUGUUUUAUCUUCAGUAUGACACCUAAAAGUCAUUGGAAAAUGGACAAAUGCUGCCAACUGAAUUUUAAAGGUGACCUAUCAAGACUUCCAUGUGAGACAGUAAAGUCAAUUGAAUGCCCAACCAAGUAAAUUCAUCACUCACCAGAAAGCAGUGUGAGCCAUAACUCACUAGUACCAGCCAGUUGGAGUUUAGAGUUUUGGAUAUAGAUAAAGGAAGUCUGAGAGUUUUUUUCUGAUGAAUGAGGACUGAAGAAUAGGCUGUAUAUGAGAUUAACUGUGCCUUUAGAAGGAAUGAAUUAUACAGACAUCCCCUCUACAUCCAUGAGGGAUUGAUUCUAGGAUCCCCAUAGAUACCAAAAUCUGUGGAUGCUCAAGUCCCUUAUAUAAUAUGGUGCAUAUAACCUACGCAUCCUCCUGUAUACUUUAAAUCAUUUCUAGAUUGCUUACAAUACCUAAUAA